UUAAUUACAGUGAGCAAGACUAGUAGCAAAAAUUCAUUUGCUUAGAGAGAUCUCUCCAUCGGCUGCAAGGGAGAUUUUAAUGGAUUUUGUGAAUUUCAUCUUGUUAGUAGGAUCUAGUAAAUUCCGGUAUUUCACCGUUAUCGAAAACUUGAGUGUGGGUCUUACCAGGCCCAAAUGAGGGUGGUACCGCGAAGCUUCGUCCCUAUU
rnacentral:ncRNA from 1 species